rnacentral:rRNA from 1 species
CACGUAGGGGGCAAGCGUUGUCCGGAAUCAUUGGGCGUAAAGAGCUCGUAGGCGGCUCAAUAAGUCGGGUGUGAAACCCCCAGGCUCAACCUGGGGACGCCACCCGAUACUGUUGUGGCUAGAGUCCAGUAGGGGAGUGUGGAAUUCCCGGUGUAGCGGUGAAAUGCGCAGAUAUCGGGAGGAACACCAGCGGCGAGGGCGGCGCUCUGGGCUGGUACUGACGCUGAGGAGCGAAAGCGUGGGUAGCAAACAGG